rnacentral:lncRNA from 1 species
GAUUAUCGGCUCUCAUAGCAGUCAAAACUAGGAGAGGUUCUUCCUAACAACCUUAUCUAUUCCAAUUGUUUGAAGGUUCAUAUCAACUUUUUUCCAUUGGUUUAAGGAAAUGUGUGUAUAUAUAUAUUUCAAACUUUAAUUUUUCCUGGUGGUAUUGAAUUUUUAUCCUAAAAUAUAUUGAAAUAACAAGUAUCAACCAUUACUUGUUAAUUUUUAUGGUUUAGUUGAAAAGAAGCUUAUUUUUUUGGAUCAUUUCAUUAUAAGUAGAUUGAUUUUUCUACCAUUCUACAUGUUGUUUCAUGUCAUGCCAAGCAGAGUCCUCAGCACCAAAGCAAGCGUCCAGGUUUCCUUCAAUUGGCACAAUUUAGUAGCCAAGCCACCUCAACUGAGCACCCAAGAGCCAAAUACAACAUAUCCAGAAAAUUGUUCUUUCAAGCAUAAUACAACAAUUUAUUGCAUACACAAUACUGUGUCCCAAAAAAAGCUUAAGAGGUCAUACUAAACUUGGCAGCCAUGUCACCUCAACUGAGCAGAAUAUCCAGAAAAUUGUUCUUUCAAGCAUAAUAUGACAAUUUAUUGCAUACACAAUACUGUGUCCCAAUAAAAGCUUAAGAGGUCAUACUAAACUCGUUAGAAAGUACAUAGUAGGAGAAAUCCUCUCUCCUAAACUCUUAAAUCCCAUAUUUCGCAAAUUCUUUAACAUAAUCAUACUAUUGAGCAAUUUUGAAACUUAAUUGGCCUUUAUUUUCCCUAGUAUCUGCUCCCUAAAAAAUUAUGUCUCAAAAUCUUCUUUCAAUUAAGUGCUCAUCCAUUCAUCUAUUAUACUUUGAAAUAUAAUAAAUUAGAUUAUCAGGGGCCACCAGCUCUUGAGGACUGGCUCAAGUGGCAAGGGAUUGGGUAGCGAUGAGGGAGGUUCUAGGUUGAAUUCCAUAUGACAGAAGAAAAAGGGGAGGAGGGCUGAUUAUCAAGUGUUACUCAAUUUCUAAAUAUACAACUAAAUAUUUAAAAUUUGAGGAUGAUCUGGAUUCUGCUGGAACUGACAAGUAGAUGAAUUUAGUGAUAACCUGGAUUUUAUCUUCUCUAAUAUUCUUAUAGCUUCAUUUGUUUUCGUAAUCCAUAUGUAAUAGGCAAAAUGCUCAAUUCUAUGAUCUACCAAAAUGAUGUUUCAGGAGUUUUCUUCGCUUUUUAUUAAAAAAUAUAGAUUUAAAAGUUAC